UACGGAGGGGGCUAGCGUUGUUCGGAAUUACUGGGCGUAAAGCGCACGUAGGCGGAUUGCUAAGUCAGGGGUGAAAUCCUGGAGCUCAACUCCAGAACUGCCCUUGAUACUGGCGGUCUCGAGUCCGGGAGAGGUGAGUGGAACUGCGAGUGUAGAGGUGAAAUUCGUAGAUAUUCGCAAGAACACCAGUGGCGAAGGCGGCUCACUGGCCCGGUACUGACGCUGAGGUGCGAAAGCGUGGGGAGCAAACAGG
rnacentral:rRNA from 1 species